CGGGAGUAGAUCGGGGAAAAGAAAAAGUAAAGGACUAAAUUGUAAACUUUAGUCACAUUUUGUAUCGAGUACUUAUCUAGCCACUCGGGGAUCGAAGGAAACGUCGGAGGCCGAUCACACUAUCAAAGAAAUAACUCGGUAUAAUUAGACGUUUUGUUUUGUGUAUGGCAUGUAUAGAAACUUAGCUACUUUUGGUAUAAUAUGAACAAUGAAUGAUGUGUAAAUACUUGCUAGUGAUUAGCUAAUAAAAAUGGCCGAUGAUAUGCAUGUUUAUUAA